AAACCUGUGAUGUAAUGGUUAGCAUACAAGAUUUUGAUUCUUGUUGUAUAGGUUCAAAUCCUAUCAGGUUUACAA
rnacentral:tRNA from 2 species